rnacentral:rRNA from 1 species
AACGAACGCUGGCGGCGUGCCUAAUACAUGCAAGUCGAACGCAGUGGGGACGGGUGAGUAACACGUGGCUAACCUCCCAUCAGAGGGGAUAACACUUGGCAACAGGUGCUAAACCGAUACUGAUGGAUGGACCCGCGGUGGAUUAGCUAGGGGGUGGGGUAACGGCGCACCAAGGCCACGAUGCAUAGCGUGACUGAGAGGGUGAUCGGCCACACUGGGACUGAGACACGGCCCAGACUCCUACGGGAGGCAGCAGUAGGGAAUCUUCUGCAAUGGACGAAAGGCUGACCGAGCAACGCCGCGUGAGUGAAGAAGGUUUUCGGAUCGUAAAACUCUGUUGGUAGAGAAGCGGUAUCUAACCAGAAAGCCACGGCUAACUACGUGCCAGCAGCCGCGGUAAUUC